CGUGCAGCAAGGAAUAUUGCCCAAUGGACGAAAGUCUGAGGCAGCAACACCGCGUGGAGGACGAAGGCCUUCGGGUUGUAAACUCCUUUUCUGGGGGGAAGAGAAAGGACGGUACCCCAGGAAUAAGGCCCGGCUAACUACGUGCCAGCAGCCGCGGUAAAACGUAGGGGUCGAGCGUUAUCCGGAUUUACUGGGCGUAAAGAGCAUGUAGGCGGUUGUCUAAGUCGGACGUGAAAGCUCCUGGCUCAACUAGGAGAGGCCGUUCGAAACUAGAUAACUCGAGGAUGGUAGAGGAGAGUGGAAUUCCCGGUGUAGUGGUGAAAUGCGUAGAUAUCGGGAGGAACACCAGUGGCGAAGGCGGCUCUCUGGGCCAUUCCUGACGCUGAGAUGCGAAAGCUAGGGGAGAGAACGGGAUUAGAAACCCCGGUAUUCCUAGCUGUAAACGAUGUCAACUAGGUGUAGGAGGUAUUGACCCCUUCUGUACUGUAGCAAACGCGAUAAGUUGACCGCCUGGGGACUACGGCCGCAAGGCUA
rnacentral:rRNA from 1 species